UCCCAAGUGGCUUAGUGGUAAAGAAUCUGCCUGCCAAGCAGGAGGUGUGGGUUUGAUCCUUGGGUC
rnacentral:tRNA from 1 species